CUCUCAGUAUGUGUAAACUAUGACAUGCAGGCCAAUUCACCUAGAAAGGCCUAUUUUCAAAAGCUCAUGUCCUCUGAAUUGAGGAACCACAGAUCAGAUCAGCCUCUUCAACCCCCCGCGAGGCUCCCAUUCAUGUAAGACACCCAUGGCUUUGUAAUGGCACCCAACGCUCUGGGCUGGCAUGAAAAUUGUGUGACUCACAUCAUGUGCCUCCCCAAGAAGGUGAGGCUGUUGCUGCAAAGCUGACUAGUUUGUGGAAUGUAAUGGAUGAGCUAAACUUGGAGCAGGGGGCUGAGACACAGAUUUCCUGUGCUGUCGAGCUAUUGCAGAUCUCAGCAGAUAACAAAGCUAUUAUCCUGGCAGAAAUGGAAGCAUCCUCAAAUCCUGUCAGAUGGCAGCAUGGACAAAAAUUACAAGCAAAUGUAUUUUUAAGCUGAUGCACUUUCUUAAGUCUGGCUCCUAAAAGCAAAACAUGCUCUUCUAGGAGAAGUUUUAGUAAAAACAUAAGAAUGCUGCUGAGUUUCUUAGCAGGCAUUUUGGAGGAAAAGAUUUGGAUCAGAAAUUCAGAAAUUACCUGGGCUCACAAAUAUAUGCCCCUCCAGCACCAUCCUGCAUUCUGCUUCCAAGAUACAUGAGCUUUCUGAAGAGCUGGUGAGAAUGCUGAAACUUCCUGGCCUUGGUUUCCCAUCUGGUAAAAUGAGGAAGACCAAAGCUUAACUCUCACAAGGAAUAUGCAGAUGGAGUCUCACUCUGUCGCCCAUGCUGGAGUAAAGUGGUGUGAUCUCGGCUCACUGCAACCUCUGCCUCCCAGCAGGGAGAAGUCUAAGAGACAAAAUCAAUAAGGCUAGAGAAGAUUGGCUUUCUCUGGAUACUGUACCUUAUCCAUGUGAACAGGAGAUUUUAUAGUGACUUGUUUCAGUAUAAACAAAGAGGACUGGAAUAACUGAUUGCUGAGGACUCCAAUCAUGGCAGCACUGUAUGAUAUGAAUGUAAAAUAAGCAUGACUGACUGCAACAAGAAGGCAGCCUGAAUCUACCUGAAGAAUCCUCAGGCCAUCCGAUUUGAUGAUAUAGUCAGUAGGAUUGUUUGGUUUGCUAGUAACAUAAAUUCAAAGCUUCAGGAAGGAGACUGGGCACAGCGGCUCAUGCCUGUAAUCCCAGCACUUUGGGAGGCCAAGGCGAGUGGAUCAUUUGAGGCCAGCAGUUCUAGACCAGCCUGGCCAAUAUGGUGAAACGCCGUCUCUACUAAAAAUACAAAAAUCAGCUGGGCAUGGUGGCACAUGCUUAUAAUCCCAUCUACUCAGGAGGCUGAGGCAUAAGAAUCGCUUGAACCCAAGAGGUGGAGGUUGCAGUGAGCCAAGAUUGUGCCACUAUACUCCAGCCUGGGUGACAGAGCAAGACUCUGUCUCAAACAAAACAAAACAAAACAAAACAAAACAAAACAAAAACAACAAAACACACACACACAAACACCAAAGCUUCAGGAAAAAAAAGGCAGACUAAAUUAUAUGGUAAGUAGGCUGUUUCAUUGAACUGAAAUGCAAAAGUAAACCGGAGAUGUAAGUUGUCACAAGAAAAAAAAAAAAAAAAAAAAAAA
rnacentral:lncRNA from 1 species